rnacentral:misc_RNA from 1 species
GCCAGUGGGUGAUUAUUACCACUCAAGACAUGACAAACUUUAAAGAACCAGCAGUCAAUGGAGGUGCAAGCCCCUUCUGGAAUGAGCUAGAUAUAACAAUCCCUUCUUUUUUUUUUUUUUUUUAAAUAACGGCAUCCUUUGAUGUCUCAAACAAGACUGACAGCAUGGAGGCAUGGGCUGCGUUGUUCAGAAAAUGAACAGACAGAAAAACCAAUAAAAGUGAACCCUGCUAAAAUGCUUGCUCUCUAAUAUUUCAAGUCAAGAUGUUUUCAAGUUUGCCAGAUGCAGG